ACUUUUAAAGGAUAAUAGUUAUCCGCUGGUCUUAGAAACCAUUACUCUUGGUGCAACCCCAAGUAAAAGCU
rnacentral:tRNA from 1 species